AACGAACGCUGGCGGCGUGGAUAAGACAUGCAAGUCGAACGAGAAACUGAUUAGCUUGCUUUGAAGUUUCUAGUGGCGGACGGGUUAGUAACACGUGAGAAUCCUACCUUUCAGAGGGGAAUAGCCCGUGGAAACGCGGAUUAAUGCCCCAUGGUCUCUACGGAGUAAAGGUGCCUUCGGGUAUCGCUGGAAGAUGGGCUCGCGGCCUAUCAGCUUGUUGGUGAGGUAAGAGCUCACCAAGGCUACGACGGGUAGCUGGUCUGAGAGGAUGAUCAGCAACACUGGAACUGAGACACGGUCCAGACACCUACGGGUGGCAGCAGUCGAGAAUCAUUCACAAUGGACGAAAGUCUGAUGGUGCAACGCCGCGUGGAGGAUGACGGUCCUAGGAUUGUAAACUCCUGUCAUCAGGGAGUAAGGCUUAAACGUUAAGACCGUUUAAGUUUGAUAGUACCUGAAGAGGAAGGGACGGCUAACUUCG
rnacentral:rRNA from 1 species